rnacentral:lncRNA from 1 species
GCCAUGCUGUCGAAUGAGAGACUUGUGUUAAAAAUCCUACAUCACUGUGGUUAUGUUAAAAUCUUACAUCAAGCGUGGAAAUGUCUGUUUCUAGCAGUUUUUGCUUUAUUUAGUACUUUCUGAGUCCGUGUGUCUUACAGGUGUGUGACUGUCCUGUGUCCUUUAAGAUGUUGGGUCCUUUCCCUCAUAACACCCCCGCCCUGGCCCGCGCACCUCCCUUGCCUUGGGUCCUGUGUUGCUGUGCCCUUCACAGCUGCCCUUCUCCUCCUGGUGACCCUGCUUCAGGGGCCCAGAAUGGCCUUUUGAUCUUGACCUUUUGCAUUACUUGUAGCUGCCUCUUAUGAACACUGCAUCCUGGAUUUAGCGUUUUUCUUUUAAUAUGCAUGUAAUUUAAUCCUCAGUUCUGAUAUGUUUUGUUUUAUUAAAAAAUAUUUACAAAUGUUAGUAGUUAUACUUCUAAGAUAUAUGUUUUUUUCCCAUAAUCAAAUCACC